rnacentral:lncRNA from 1 species
AAUAGGUGAUGCGUGUGGUUAAGGACUAAAAACUUUUCUAGGAAUAUUAUUAAGAGUGGGAGCAUCUACUUGUAAUGCUUCAGAAAGAUUAACCCUGGAUUCAUCUGCUCCUUGACUUUCCGAAGCUUAUCAAAGAAGCAGCUUCUCUGUGCUCAUGUAUUUGUCUCCUCUGCCAGUUGAUUCAUGUACCCGAAAAAGGUUCAAGCGGCUGAGUCACUGCUGAAAUUGGUAUCGGAGCUGAAACAGACAUAUUUUCGGGAUUCGCGUCUCUGAAUGACUAUGUUGAACAGAGAAUCGUCGAGUUAAACCAGCAAGCUGAAAAAUCGGAUCGUACGUUGUCUAGAAUUGCAGAGGAGGCAGCUGCCAGUCUCAAAGAGCUCAAAUCUCAUUACUACUCUUCGUCACAGAGGACAACUCAUCUCACAGAAUCUUAGUGGAAGAUGGCUGUGAUUUUGUGUAUUGAUUUUGGGGGAUUAUCGUGACUUGUUACUUAUCUUGAAGCUAACAAAAACUAUGUACGCUAAUGGAGAUUCUAGGGUAUUCUUUAAUUUCAGCAGGGUGAUCGGGAGGCUUGCACUCGCGGUUCGAGAGCUAUGUGAUGGAAUGAAUUUGAUAUUCUAAAUAGGGAGUAUUGAGGAGAUAUUUGACUUUGGAAUUCAUCCAAAAUACUUGUCGAUGACUACUGAGUGCAAAUCUCUCUUAGCAAAGAGAUUAGCUACGUGGACUUCCAAGCCCUUACGUUUCUCUCCUGUACUUCUAUUUCUACGAAUUUGCAGCCGAAGGUUGAAUGAGAUGGAAAGCUUUUACAUGAUUGAUCCCAUGUGAUCCCCCGGUCCAAGCGUAGAUGACCUGCAUUGGAUCGAACAAGAGCCCAGGGCUUACUCUCUUCUCAAAAGCUGGUCCAUGAAACCACUUGCUCUCUACAAUAGCAAAGAGGCCUUUAGUUUUUAAUUACAUGCUCCGGUUUUUUUCUUUUUUUGGUCGAAAUUAUAUGCUCGUGCAGGAAUUUUUGGCUUUUAAAAAAAAAAUUUAAAGUAGUCAUUUUCUGGGAAAAUAGUAAUAUUUUCCGAAGCUUGGCUGAAGUUUGAAAAUGGACUGUUGAUUAUUUUUCCGUCGAUUGGAAAUGAAAACUUAACUUUCUUUUCUAAAGAAACAUGCACUAUUCACAUUACAUGUGUACAUGGAUAAAAAAUUUCAUUGUUUUGGCCGUCUAUAAAUAGAAUUUGUAAAAAAUUUAAAAAGUAUCAUUCAUUAACUAGACUUAUAAAAUAAUUGAAUAUGUUGACUUUGAGUUAACAAAGCUAAGGCUCAUCUCAUUUUAUUAGACCUGGGCCCGGCUGUCGAGGUCCCAAAGACUUGGACAUGACUGCCAAAAUCUUGAGCAGAGGUGUUAAGGUCUUGAAUCAAGUCUCGAGGGACUAAGGCCCUGUCACUAUGAUCCUAGACUCGAGUGUUGAGGACCCUGCCUUGGUCAAAGACUGGGCCUUGACCUUAGGGGACUCGAGCCUGCUACUGAGGUUCCAAUUUUCUUGGGCCUAGUCGUUUGAAACUCGAGCAUGGGCGCUGGAGAUCGGGGCCCAAUCUUGAUAGACUGAUCUCGAGCAUUGUAGACUUGAUUGCAGGAGCCGAGUAUUCAGGCAUGGUAGCCGGUGACUCGGGCAUGGACAUUGGAGUUUUAAGUCCGGCCUUAAAUGACUUGGGACCAACCUCUUUAUUUCCUGGUUUGGCUUAUCUGGCCCUGAUGGACAUUAGUCAUAAGUUAUUGUUGCUUUGUUGAAUAUAUUUAACGUAUUUGGUGUAAAAUCAAACAAAGCUUUUAUUACUUGUUAUAUAAUUUGCCACAUUGUGUUAGUAAAUGAAAAUUUGAUCGAGUAAAAUUAUGAAUGCUUGCAGUGCCUUGAUUUUCAACAAAUGUUGCUAUUUUGGUUCAUCCGUGUCUUUGUUUUAGUUGUGCACUGGUGUGGAAUAAUCUUAUAUUUUUAUUAGUACCGUGAUGAGACGGUAAUGACAACGUCAUUCAAAAUGACCGUAAUUUCGACUCAAAUUAAUAUUCUAUCACGGGCUUGAAAAUCAAUAAUUAACGACAUUAGUUGCCUGUUCUUAGCAUUGAAUUUAAUUUUAUACGAAAAAGAAAAGCUCGCGCAGCUUUUUUUAACAACAGAAGAACCAAUUUGCUAUCCAAUCCGAAAAAGAAAAAGAAAGAUCUGCUUAAAGUCCAGCUUGAAAUGAAACUUCGUCUCGAAACCCAAAAAGGCCCAAACCCGCGUGUCGUUUUGGAGCGAAACGGCGCGUCCUCGUCCUCCAUUGCCCCUUGCCCUAGCCUACGCCACUUCCGGAACGACACCCUCAAACGGCAAAACAAAACCCUCCUUCGCAAAUAUCAUCCUUAGUUAUGGUAUAUGUGAGUUUCCCAAAUACCAAUAUCUGUCUGUGGAAUGAUUGAAAAGAGUAUUGCUAAGUACCGUUGGUCCUCCGCAGAAGGCAAAACUGGGGUCCAAAGGAGAAGCUAGAAAAGUUAUAAGGAGGAAAAAAUAUGAUAUCUUGCUUUAAUCAAUCCCUUUUAGCGAAACAGGCGUGGAGGAUGAUAAAGAAACCAGAAGCAUCGUGGAGCAGAGUGAUGAGUGCACUGUAUUUUCCCUCAACAGAAAUCUGGGAAGCAUAGAAAGGAAAUGGGUCUUCAUGGGUUUGGCACAGUAUCUUCUGAGCAUUUUCAUAAGUUUAAAGGAUUUGCCCAACGGAUUUCGGCAAUUCCAUUAAGUUCAAAUGCAAUGGAAGAUAAGCCAAAUUUGGCUCUCGAAUAGAAAAAUACAACGUAAAAGGUGGCAAUACGCCAGCUACAAAUGCACAGAGUAGUUUCAAUGCAGACACUUAUUAUGCCGCCCAUACUCCCAAGGAACUGUGUGUUCUAUGGCUACCGAAGGCUGAGUUUUUCCUAUGAGCCUAGCAAAAAGAGAAAUUAUAUCUGAUCCUACAGGCUACCUCUGCGAGCAGACUACCGAAAGUACAAAGCGCCAAAUAUGUAGUCAACUUCAAAUCUCUCUUCAAUCUGAUAAACUCCUUGCGAACAAAGCCCCAAAUUCUGAGAAAGUGAGAGAUCGCUAAUCGAAAUUCUAUAAUUCAACACAGUGCAUCCUACGGCCUCAUGGGAGAAGCAAUCGAAUUUAAAACCACCCUUCUACAAAGGUGGUUGCCUCCUAAGUUUGGCAUGGUUGAGGUGAGCUUUGAUGCAACUAUAAUAGAUUGAGGUCUCCGAUCUGUGGUUGAUUAGGAAAUGACUUUGGUGCCCUUGCCAACGGGAAUAUUCCACGGAAUAUACAUGGAUAUUUUAAGGAAAAUUAUUGUAGGAAAAUUAUUGUAGGAAAAUUACUCCAAUAAUCCUGAAAUUUUGACUUAAUAUGUAAUAUGAUUAAUUAACUUUUUAAAAAUUUAUUCAAGAUAAUUCUUGAAUUUUAAUAUAUUUUAAAUUUAUUUUUUCAAUUAAAAAUUAUCCAUGAUCUUGAAUUAAUUAAAUGACUAAAAAUUUUAGAAACUAUAUUGAAUAGAUAAAAAAUUUAAGCAUUGCAUUACACGCGAAGUCCACGUAUCAUUUAAUAUUUAUGUCAUUAUUCUAUGAGAAUAGGACGGCAAGGGGCAAUUUGGUCAGAUGGAAUAUGAGAUUUUGCUCGUGUGGAUGCAGGCACAGGGGGGGUUGCGGCGGGGGUCCACCGAAGAAGGGAUAAUGCGGAUAAAAGUGGGUGGAGCGAGUGGGCUGAGCUUGACGCACGUAGUGGCAACCUGUCACGGGCCGGUCGUGCGACCCUCUCUAAAUUAUCAGUCCUAGGAUUUAACUGGACUCCGAGAAUCACUAAAAUCCUUUGAUUUUUCGAUGAUGAAUAUCCAUCUCGGGCCAUUGAAUUUUCCCUUCUUUUUUUUUGGGAGGAGUAGUUUUGGAAAGAGACAUAAGUAAGGCGAUAAGGUGUUUUGGCUUUACUAAUAUAGAAAAUCUCGUUCAUAGAUAGAGGACAAAUAGAGUUAUGAUUAUGCUAAAUUAUAUUAUCAAAAGAAAACUAUAAGAAAUUUCCAAAUGCGUGCAAAGCAUUGGAUUUCAAUUAAAUGAAAUGAUGAAUUCGAUUUUGUUUUUAUAAUCUAGGGGCAGGAAUUGAACCCACAAUUUUCGGCAAGAGAGCGAUGCCCCUGGCCAACGCUUGGGUAGCAGCGAUGGCACUGUUGAGACUGCGACUACAACUUCCCCAACUCGCUUGGCAUUUUCCUCUUGCUAUUGUUUUUUUUUUCAAUCACUUUUACCCUAAUACUCAACUCACUCCAGACUCUAAAAAAAAAAGGAGAGAGAAAAAUCAAAAGAGAUCAGGAGAUAAAUCAACAUGAUUUUCCAUAUCCUAAAAAUCAAAGAAGAUUGAGAAACAAAUCGAAGUGAUUUUUUCAGAUUUACAAAAUCACAAAAGAUUAGUAUAUAAAUUUAUGUCGUACAUCAAAUUGGAAUUACAUUUGCUCCUAUAAAUAGGAGUCUUCCUUAAUAGAGAAGAAAGUACAAAAGCAAGAAUAUAGAGUAGUAGCGGAAGACUUGAGAGAUCAUAUCAAAGGUGAAGUUGUUAUUCAUUUUACUGCUUUUUAUCUUUAAAUUAUCUUGGCAUUCUUCACAAAUAUUAUUUUUUUUCAAUAAAAGUUGAAAUCCAAAACUAAUCUUCUUCAAACUCAUCCCCUUCCUCUCGAAUACAUGUGCAAAACUUGACAUUGGAGCGAGUGCUUAAAAUUUUUGUAGCAAAAUGAUCUCCAAACGCAAAAUUAAAAUAUCGAGUAUAUGAAGUCCAAUAUAUUUCUAGAAAUAUGUUUGUAUCGAGAACAGAAGUGCUGAUGGUGGCACUGGUGCACGCCCCGGUGGUUAUGUUCCACGCCGUUUCGCUUGGCACAUUCCUUUCUCAUUUCCAGAUUCCCUUUCUUUAAUUUUGAAAAUUCAUUGAGUAGUUUGUUCUAUAUUUUUGUAAUAUUUUAUUUUCACGUGAUGUCAGCGUGGAGAAUUGAGCGACCUGAGGGCGAUCGAGCUGGACGUGGGUCCAAAGGGUUUGAUUUGAAAAAGGAAACGAUCUAAAGAUUGACCGUAAUUUCUGGAAAGAAAAUCUUUGUUGGGAGUCACCAAACGAGAGGCGAUUAGGGCAAAACCGGAGCGCUUGCUGUUCCUAUACUUCUCGAUCCGAUCCUGCAAUGGAGAAGGGAAAGGAAGUGGCAGAUGCAGCAGCAAUGGGGGGAGACGUCGCCUCUGGAAGCAGCGACUCCUACGAUGUGUUGCUGAGUUUCAUGGGAGACGACACUGUCCUUACGAUGGUCGAGCACCUGUACCGUGACUUGGUUGAGGCUGGAAUCCGCGUCUUCAGAGACUACAAUGAACUUGGAGGCGGUGAUGAAAUUGACGGGGAGCUUCUGAGAGCGAUCGACGGGGCCAAAAUCUACAUCCCCAUCUUCUCCAGAAACUACGCUUCCAGCGUGUGGUGUCUCAAGGAGCUUGCGGCUAUGGUGGAGAGGAUGGUGAAAUCGGGUGGUGGGAAAACGAUCCUCCCCAUAUUCUACGACGUUGAGUCUCGUGAUGUUAGGCUUGAAACCCCUCUGUACCGCGAUGACCUAGUGAAGCACGAGGAGAGAAUCGGGUCUGAAGUAGAAGCGUGGGAAAAUGCUCUUAAAGAGGUUGGUUCAUUCUCUGGAUGGGAGACGGGAGAUGGCAGGUAACAGGCCCAGAUUUUUAUACAAGGAGGGAUUGCAACUCAUAAAUCAUUUUCUGGAAUAGCAAAGCUAAACUCCAAUAGAACAAGCUUGUUACUUUGUUUGUGAUGCUGCUCUGCGCUUUAAGUAGAAAUUUAACUUGAUUCGCUGUUCAAUAGGCGUGGUUCUUGCUUUAUCUGAUAGUAUCCACCCAAAUUUAAACUCGCUCCCUUUCUUUUCUAAUUCACUUCUGUGGCAGCUACUUCCACCUCAUCCAAGAAACCAUUGAAGAAGUCAAGAUCAAGCUGAAGGUACGGUGUGCAUGUGAACGUACUAAAACAAGCAACCUUACUUUAGAGGUCCAGUUAUGGAAGUACUCAUUUGAUUUUUGACAAUUUUUGUAUCUCUCUAGAGAGAUUAGGAUAAUAUUGCAAAUGGAGUAUAAUCAUCCGAAGGUCCAUCACAUUCCAUUUAAUGCUAUAUCGUGGGAUCAUUUAGUAGGACAUGACUGGAGGGUUUUCUGUGUUGUUUCUGAAGUGUGGCAAGGAAUAAAAGGAAAAUUAAAUCCAGUUGUUACACCUUUUCAUUUCCCACAACAGCUUUCUUGUUUACAAUUUUAUUUCCUAGGUACGCGCAAGAAAUAGGCCAAUUCGGCGGCUUUUUGCUCAAUUUCACGCGGAGUCAAAUUCUCAUCAGUACGCGUCAAGGGAACGGCCCCCUGUCCUUUGAUUUCCAUAUAAAGGACACGACGAGCAGAAAUACCCUCUUUAACUUCGAUUCGGAUGGACUGAAUAUCUUUCAUACAAUGUAGGAGCAGCUUUCUUGUUUACAAUUUUAUUUGCUCAUGUAGGAAAAGGGAAUUGACAAACAAGUGGAGGACAUGAUGGACUUACUUGAUUUAGAAGUCAGUGAUGUACGGAUAGUCGGAAUAUGGGGGGAGGAUGGGGUUGGCAAGACGACUCUUGCCAAUGCCAUUUAUGAAAAGAUUUCCUCUCAGUUCCACAGAUGUAGUUUCCUUGCAGAUAUUGGGGCAACAGCGAAACAACGUGGAGGUGUUCAGCUUUUGCAAAGCAAGUUGAUAUCUGAUAUCCUAAACCGAGAAUACGAGGUUGAUCAAGUUGCGAAAGGAGUUGAUUUCUUUAAAGGAAUAUUACGGAAGUUGAAAGUCCUAAUUGUUCUUGAUGAUGUUGAGGUACGGUCGCAUCUCCACGAAAUUGUUGGAGAGAAGCUUGAUUGGCGGUUAUGGAUCUAGGAUAAUUGUCACCACCACUAGUAUCGAAUCUGUUCUUCCAAAAUUUAUAUCUCGAGGGUUGGUUCGUGUUUAUGGUAUCAAGUUGAUGGGUAAUGAUGAAGCUCUUGAGCUUUUCAGAAAGCAUGCACUGCGAGAAUUCCAGAUUUUGAUGAAAUUGCAAGAGGUAUAAUCAACUCUGUGAAUGAGAUUCCAUUACUUAUCAAAGUAAUCGGUUCACACUUAUCCAGAAAAGUAGUAGAAGAAUGGACUGCAUUUAAGGAGCUAAUUUUGCAACCUGGCCUGGAUAUUAAAAAGCUUUUUAUGAUUAGUUAUGAAGAAUUGAGCAAGGAGCAAAGAGAGAUAUUUCUUGAUAUUGCGUGCCUCCCUGCUGAUGUGGAUGGUCGAAUUGCUUCAUUUAUGUGGCAUAAUCUCAAUUUUCUCCCCUCUGAUGGAGUUGAUGCCCUCCAUACUAUGUCCCUGGUAAAAAUUGGAAAAGAGAACGAACUGGGGAUGCCCAGGCUGUUAAGGGAGUUUGGCCAAUACAUCAUACAAAACGAGGAUAAACUAGAUCCAGGAACGCGAGGCAGGUUGUGCAAUUUGGAAUUGGCCCGGAAUAAGGAUGAGGUACAGUAUAUUGUGUAAUUCUAUAGCGGAAUGUGUUCUCGAGCCUUGGAGUGUUGAAAAAUUGUCCUUUCUCUUUAACAUCAACUUAUUUAGCUCUUUCUCAUUUUUUUCUUCACUCAAUACUUUUUUCAUUAUAGGGGACAGACCACCUCAAAUUUGACGCGGGAGAUUUUAAGAGCAUGCCAAACAUAAGAUUUCUUAUCUUGGAUUUUGCGAAAGUUGUUGGUGAUUUUGCUAAUGUUUUUCCAAAUUUGAAGUGGCUCCAAUGGCGAGGAUGCACCAGAGAUUUUGAAGCUACUAAUUUUCAUGUUGAGAAAUUAGUCAUUCUUGAUCUUUCACGGAGCAGAGUCACUGAAGACUGGGGAGGUUGGCAAAAAAUCAAGGUAGAUUAAGCUUUGUUUAUUUCAUUAAAUUGUUCCCCUGAUGAAUAAGUUUUCACCAGAAUGCUUUGUAUGAAGACUGAUUGCAGACAUGACAUUUUCCAGCAUAUGGCAUGUACAGAACUGAAUGUUAAUCUUGAAAUACUUAAGGAAAUAAUUGGUUGCCUGCCAACAACAAUUAGAGGGUGUGUGGAUGAUGGUGGUGGUGGAAUUUUAGGUUGAGUGAGUUAAGGGGAAUGAUUUUCUGGUUGUCGAAAGGGCAAGUCAAUCUUCAGAAUCUAAAUAAGCAUCUUCUUAGCCGUGAAAACAUUUUCAAGCAGGAAUCUUCCUAAUAUAUGCCAGGAUUGUAAGAUCGGAAAACAUUAUUUUCAAAAUUUGUUUUCUUCAUGACAAAACAGAGCCUUAUACUUUAUUUCGUCUAAAAAUGUGUUCAGUGUACGAAUUAAUGUCUCUGAGCUAUUUUUGCAGAUGCCACAGUUGAAAGCCUUGAAUCUUACUGGUUGUGCUGGCCUAUUGAUGAGCCCCGACUUGUCCUCUUUCCCGGACUUGGAGAUAUUGAUUCUCGAACGGUGUUCUCGAUUAAUGAAGUUAGAUCCUUCCAUCUGUCAUUUAAAAUGCUUAACUACCUUAAAUUUGAGGUUCUGCGAUGAACUCAAUAUGUUGCCAUUUGAACUGGGUAACAUGAAAACUCUUAAGGAGGUUCUUAUUGAUGGGACUUUGGUACAAAAAAUUCCUGUGUCAAUGGGUUACAUGAAGAAACUUGAGAUUUUUAGUGCAUCCAACUGUUUCCAAUUAAGACACCUGCCUGACUCAGUCUGCGGCUUAACAGCUCUUUCGGUACUCUCACUGGAAAAUGCAAAAAUUACUCGAAUCCCCUGCCUCUGUUGAAAACCUGGUGAAACUCCAGAUCCUGUCUCUAAAGGAUUGUCGGUGGAUAGGAAAUCUUCCGCAUUCAAUUUGCAAUUUGAGAAACUCAUUAAAGGAGUUGGAUAUAACGGGGACAGGCAUAUCUGAAUUAUCCAAUUCAAUUACUUGCUUGAGGCGUUUAAAAGUGUUAAAAAUGGAUUCUUGCUUCAUUAGAGAAUUGCCUGGAGAAAUUGGAGAUUUGGUCGACCUUGAAGAGUUACAUGCUUCUCAUUGUAGGAGUUUGAAGGGAGCCAUUCCAUCUGCUAUUGGGUGUCUAUCUCGUCUGAGGAUACUGAGAUUGGGGCAUUCCAGUAUUUCUGACUUUUCUUCGAAAAUUGGAAGUCUUUCUUGUCUUCAGACUCUCGAUUUACUUCAGUGCAACGAGAUUCGAGAACUGCCAGAGCUUAUUUCCAGUUUAACUUGUCUACAUGCGAGUUCUGAAAGGAUGGAGGCCUUGCCAGAUCUUAGGUAUUUAGUGAAGUUGGAGGAGAUAUGUCUGGGUGAUAAAGAUCCUAAGGAGCUCAGACGUUCCUCAACACGGAUGGAGCCAACAUUUAGAUCGAGAGAUCUCUUAGCAGUGCCCAUAGUACUUCCAAAACUGAAGAUAUUAGAGUUGUCCCAUUCUCGAAUCGGUGAACUGCAACUUCGGCAUGGUUCCCUCUCAUGUAAACAUCUUAAGAAGCUGGUUCUAUCUGGUGCGAAUCUUAAAAAGGUGCCAGAACUUCCCUCGUCAUUGUCCGUUUUAUCCAUUCGACAUUGUUUGUCUUUAAGACAAUUGCCAGCAGUGCACCAUUUGAGCAAACUAUCAGAACUAAAUCUCAUCCAAUCCGCGGUAGAAGAGAUUAAGGGGCUUCAGGGACUAAUUGCUCUGGAAAUCUUGAAUAUAACACAUUGCGAAAUACGUAAUCUCAAUGGGCUUAGCCAAUUAAUGGAGUUACGAAGUUUUAUUUUGUCAGACUGUGAUUUGCUCCAUGGAUUGCCCGAUAUAUCAAACUUGAAGAUGCUGAAUGUCCUAGUAGUCCAAAGAUGCAGGAUGAUCCAUGCUAUUGAAGGCCUUAUGGAGUUAACCUCCUUGGAGGAGCUGCGUGUUAGUGAAUGCGAGGCAGAAAGCACACAGCAAGUACAGGAUGCAUUAAAGCUUGUGAUGGAAGGUUCAAUAAACAGUUGAUGUCCUGUGCUCCUGGAGUGGACAUUCGGUUAUUUACAUGGCUCUUCGGACACAAUCGAAACCAUAGGGUGACAUCAUUGGAGUCCCUUGUGACAUUGAGUAGGCAAACUGACGGCAAAAUUACUGGAGCUGCAAUCUGAAAGUUUUUUGAGUCCUUUGUCUAUCAGAAGUGGAAGCUAGUGCCAUAAACAAUUGCCCUUGCACAACCUCACUGGUCAUUGGAGGGCGGCUUUCGUGUCGUGAAUGCUGAAUUUUCGUUGAGAGCUGUGUAGGGGGAGAGUCGGUUCGUUUGCUGUUGCCACUAUCUUCAUUGAAUUGGAUAACCAGUUUUUUGGGCCUUUCCUUAUGAUAUGUUGAUUUUCUUUUGUGUUGUUUCACAGCAUGUUGUCCGUUAAUUGCUUUGCCAAGGCGGCUAGCCAUCUGGCUUUAGCUUCAAUAUAUGUGGCUUUUGUGAUUAUAUUCAUCUCAGAAGUUCAGAAGUACUUUUAGUUUGCAAUGUUUAUACUUGUUUAUUAACCUAGUCUGAAUAGUUUGGCUAAUGUCCUCUGUUUUGAUGAUGUGUAAUUUGGAAAGCAAUGUCGUUUAUCUAAGAAUUUGAUGUAGUUUUUUCAGUCUAUGGACAUGCUCGAAGUUCUCUAUCUUGCUUUCUCUUGCCCUUUGUUUUUUCAGUAAUACCCCAUGACUUGAUGUUGGCAGUUCUGUUGGUUUCCAGAUUGGACUGCUUCUUGUUUUAGGUAGAGUAAUUGGACGGACAAUUUUUACAGUUGUUGACAUUGUUUGCCUGUCGCUCGCAAAAUUGACAGAACAAUUUGACCUGGGGUGUCAAAUGUCUCAUGAUCCUUUUCUCUUUUUCUUUGGUGGAAAACACCUAUAUGGUAGAAGUCAAGUUUGUCUUUGCCAUUCUAGUGAUUCAAGUAGCAUGUACUCUCCGAGGGAUUUUUCUUUAUGUAACAUGCGAAGAGAUAUUACUCUUAUUGAAAAAUAAAAGAACAUUUGUUCUAUAUUUUUAUCUUCAAUUUGAAAUUUCCAAACUGGGAAGGGUUUGAUAUCUGAAGAGCGUCCAUCGUGGUAUUGACCGAGUCUUCUCACUUAUGGCAGGUGAAUGAUCCUCCAGUCAGAAACUCACAAGAAGCUUUCAUGAUGGAGAUGCGCGCAGCAAGAAUGGUAAGAUUUGGACUUUAAUCUGAAGUGAGGUUUGGCUAUUUAAUUAUUGUAACCUACAAAGGAUAGUUAAUUCUGCUCAUUAACCCAAAAAGCAGUGCAUGUUUGGCAUAUAUGUUUACCAUAGGUCAGUUUGGUAAUCCCCUGCUAAAUCCAUGAGAGACUCAAAAUUGCAGGGCUAUGCGACUUCUAGAAAAUGGAUGUAGAAUUUCUUUUUCAUGAUAAUGGGAAUUUCAUAAUCUCAGAAAUUGCGUUUGUCACACAUGUAUUAGCAUUUAGGAAUAGCCAUAACCAUAAUGCGAAAUGACCCUCACAAUCUGGAUUUUCUGUAUAGUUUAAAUGAAUUUGAGUGAACACAAAGGUUUACUUCAAAAUUAGCUACUCGAAUCUGCAAAAUGCAGGUGGCUAAGCAUUAUUAACUUUUCAAGGAAUAUGAUGAAGCGACGAGAGCAUCUUUCUAUAGUUUAAAUGAACUUGAGGGAAAAUGAGUGGCAUUCGAGAUUAGUUACUUGAAUAGGUGAUGCGUGUGGUUAAGGACUAAAAACUUUUCUAGGAAUAUUAUAAAGCGGUGGGAGCAUCUACUUGUAAUGCUUCAGAAAGAUUAACCCUGGAUUCAUCUGCUCCUUUACUUUCCGAAGCUUAUCAAAGAAGCAGCUUCUCUGUGCUCAUGUAUUUGUCUCCUCUGCCAUUUGAUUCAUGUACCCGAAAAAGGUUCAAGCGGCUGAGUCACUGCUGAAAUCGGUAUCGGAGCUGAAACAGACUGCCAUAUUUCAGGAUUCGCAUCUCUGAAUGACUAUGUUGAACAAAGAAUCGUCGAGUUAAACCAGCAAGCUGAAAAAUCAGAUUGUACGUUGUCUAGAAUUGCGGAGGAGGCAGCUGCCAGUCUCAAAGAGCUCAAAUCUCAUUAGUACUCUGUGUCGCAGAGGACGACUCAUCUCACAG